rnacentral:misc_RNA from 1 species
AAGUCGUAACAAGGUUUCCGUAGGUGAACCUGCGGAAGGAUCAUUAAAGAGAUAGGGUCUUCAUGGCCCGACCUCCAACCCUCUGUUGUCAGUUAAUCAUCCUUGACCUUUGCUUUUUGGGCCGGGUUUGGCAGGGACCCCGGUUCCUUCCGGGGUUCCUUCCCCGGAAGCGCACUAACCCCUCGGGGUUGGUGAGCGCCCGCCAGAGUCCAACCAAACUCUUGUAUUAAACCAGUCGUCUGAGUAUAAAAUUUUAAUUAAAUUAAAA